ensembl:lncRNA novel transcript
CAUUAAAGCUCAUGGACUUAAUUCCUGUCUCCAGGGCUAUGUCUCUUUCAACUGCCAUACUGAGGACUUUUCAGCCGUGGUCCCGGAUGUCUGGCCAUACCCAUCACUUGAAACCAACUGUGUGAUAAUUGAUUAGAAAUUACAGAAACUAUGAAGUUGAAUCUCUAACAUCUUUCUAUAUGGAGUAUAAUGCUGGGAACAUCAUUAUUCCGUAAAUAUUUUUAAAAAUGCACUGGAUCAAUUGUGUAUCUUUUAUUCCUCCUGUACAAAUAAAGACCUAAACUAGUAA